GAUGAACGCUGGCGGCGUGCCUAAUACAUGCAAGUCGAGCGAACAGACGAGGAGCUUGCUCCUCUGACGUUAGCGGCGGACGGGUGAGUAACACGUGGAUAACCUACCUAUAAGACUGGGAUAACUUCGGGAAACCGGAGCUAAUACCGGAUAAUAUAUUGAACCGCAUGGUUCAAUAGUGAAAGACGGUUUUGCUGUCACUCAUAGAUGGAUCCGCGCCGCAUUAGCUAGUUGGUAAGGUAACGGCUUACCAAGGCAACGAUGCGUAGCCGACCUGAGAGGGGGAUCGGCCACACUGGAGCUGAGACACGGUCCAGACUCCUACGGGAGGCAGCAGUAGGGAAUCUUCCGCAAUGGGCGAAAGCCUGACGGAGCAACGCCGCGUGAGUGAUGAAGGUCUUCGGAUCGUAAAACUCUGUUAUUAGGGAAGAACAAAUGUGUAAGUAACUAUGCACGUCUUGACGGUACCUAAUCAGAAAGCCACGGCUAACUACGUG
rnacentral:rRNA from 1 species